CUUUUUAACAGAAGCCUUCCCUUCGGGGACUGAGGUGACAGGUGGUGCAUGGUUGUCGUCAGCUCGUGUCGUGAGAUGUUGGGUUAAGUCCCGCAACGAGCGCAACCCUUGUCUUUAGUUGCCAGCAUUAAGUUGGGCACUCUAGAGAGACUGCCGGGGAUAACUCGGAGGAAGGUGGGGAUGACGUCAAAUCAUCAUGCCCCUUAUGUUCAGGGCUACACACGUGCUACAAUGGCCGAUACAACGGGCAGCCAAGGAGUAAUCCGGAGCGAAUCCUAUAAAAUCGGUCCCAGUUCGAAUUGUGGGCUGAAACUCGCCCACAUGAAGUUGGAGUUGCUAGUAAUCGCGGAUCAGAAUGUCGCGGUGAAUGCGUUCCCGGGUCUUGUACACACCGCCCGUCACACCACGGGAGUUGGAAGCACCCGAAGCCAGCUAUCUAACCGUAAGGAGGAAGCUGUCGAAGGUGAAGCUAAUGACUGGGGUGAAGUCGUAACAAGGUAGCCGUAAAGGGC
rnacentral:rRNA from 1 species